rnacentral:misc_RNA from 1 species
GAUGAAGAACGCAGCGAAAUGCGAUAAGUAAUGUGAAUUGCAGAAUUCAGUGAAUCAUCGAAUCUUUGAACGUACCUUGCACCCUUUGGCAUUCUGAAGGGUAUGCUCGUUUGAGUGUCAUUGUACUCUCACACUCCCGAUCUUUGCAUUGGGAGCAGUGGACUUGGGUUUGCUGCUUCACCGUCGCUUACCUCAAAUAGGUUAGUGCAACUCUUGGUUGGACAUAGUACGGCGUGAUAAGUGUUCUUCGCCGGUGCCUCGCAAAGAGGGUGGCCGAUCGGGAUGUUGUGCUCCAAACCGUCUUCGGACAAUCUCUGACGACUUGACCUCAAAUCGAGUAAGACUACCCGCUGAACUUAAGCAUAUCAAUAAGCGGAGGA